GACGUAGGGCGCGAGCGUUGUCCGGAUUUAUUGGGCGUAAAGAGCUCGUAGGCGGCUCGUUGCGUCGGCUGUGAAAACCCGAGGCUCAACUUCGGGCUUGCAGUCGAUACGGGCAGGCUAGAGUUCGGUAGGGGGAGACUGGAAUUCCUGGUGUAGCGGUGAAAUGCGCAGAUAUCAGGAGGAACACCGAUGGCGAAGGCAGGUCUCUGGGCCGAUACUGACGCUGAGGAGCGAAAGCGUGGGGAGCGAACAGG
rnacentral:rRNA from 1 species